UUAGUUCACAGGGAAGGAACCAGGUUCUGCCACUCAGUCCAGGCAAAAGGUGGCAAGUUCUGAGAGCAUAUGGAUAUAUCAUUCGCAGAAUUCUUAGAACUGUUUGGAGCAAUAGUUGAGAACAAGAGACAGUCUGCAAAACAGGCUAAACCAAUGAGUGUCCUGGGGGGACAGAAGGAGCUAUGUUUUCAGAUCCUUAUCUAAACCUGGAAUUGGCAGCUUUAUUUUUAAAUUUCCAAUCUUAUCUUUUCAACUACAUCUUUAUUUAAAAUAUAACCUGUCAUUUACUCAGGCUCAAAUUUAACCAUUUUUGCUUACUCUCAUUUGAAGCUGAUGAUGACUUUUGAAGGAUAAAAGGAUCCUCUUAUAGAGAAUAAUGCUGGGGGGCAGGUAGAGAUUUUUAAAAAGAUAUUAUCUGGACACAUUGUCUCCCAAUAAGUUGAGCUCAUUAGAUAAAUGAGAUUCCACUAAAGCA
rnacentral:lncRNA from 1 species